rnacentral:misc_RNA from 1 species
CAUUACAACGUCCAAACGACAAACCAAUCGUGAACUUAGUACCCUUUGGACUAAAGGCAGACUGGAUGUAAACCCUUGUGAUGAAGGCGUCUCGGCGUCUUGGGUUGAUCCGAUCGCAGCAUUUCGAUGCUGACUUUGGCUUCCGAAGCGGUUUAUCUACAUCACUUCUAACAUUACUAAACCCUUUAACACUUUUGAACUGACUUGUUGUUAAUGCGGUGCUCCUCGCGAGUACUACUUAACAUUGAUUACGUAAAUUACGAACAACUCUUAACAACGGAUAUCUUGGUUCUCGUAACGAUGAAGAACGCAGCGAAAUGCGAUACGUAAUGCGAAUUGCAGAAUUCAGUGAAUCAUCAAAUCUUUGAACGCAAAUUGCACUCUCGGGAUAGGCCUGGGAGUACGCCUCUUUGACUAUCGAUUCCAUCACUCAACAACUUCUUGUUGUUGGAUACUGGACCAACAUUGCGAUCAGCAAUGCGGUCUUAAACACAUGGAGUUUGAGCUGUCUUGAGAGCUUCGCCUCGGCGAAUAGUCCAAUCGGACUUGCAAACCAAGUUGCCUGUAGUGACGAAGGUAAUUUCGCAAUGCGAAUCCUCCAACGUGACUACGUGGUGCCUUGGGACUUGUCGGUUGAAUGAACGCUCAAGUAGCAAUAAGAAACGAUGUUCGAGGCUUCAAAACCUCAACAACUUUGAAUUAAAAUGUCAAAUGAAGCGAGAAUACCCGCCGAACUUAAGC